rnacentral:rRNA from 1 species
AACGAACGCUGGCGGCGCGCCUAAUACAUGCAAGUCGAACGAGAAUGUGUAGCAAUACACAUGUACAGUGGCGAACGGGUGAGGACUACAUGGGUAAUCUACCCUCGAGUGGGGAAUAACCAGCCGAAAGGUUGGCUAAUACCGCGUACGCUUCCGGGACCGCGGUUUCGGAAGGAAAGCGAUACCGUGGGUAUCGCGCUCUUGGAUGGGCUCAUGCCCUAUCAGCUUGUUGGUGAGGUAACGGCUCACCAAGGCAUCGACGGGUAGCUGAUCUGAGAGGAUGAUCAGCCACACUGGCACUGCGACACGGGCCAGACUCCUACGGGAGGCAGCAGUAAGGAAUAUUGCGCAAUGGGCGAAAGCCUGACGCAGCGACGCCGCGUGGGGGAUGAAGGUCUUCGGAUUGUAAACCCCUUUCGGGAGGGAAGAUGGGAUGGGGUAACCCAUUCGGACGGUACCUCCAGAAGCAGCCACGGCUAACUUCGUGCUAGCAGCCG